rnacentral:rRNA from 1 species
GGAAAAGAAACCAACAGGGAUUGCCCUAGUAACGGCGAGUGAAGCGGCACAGCUCAAAUUUGAAAUCUGGCCUUUCAGGGUCCGAGUUGUAAUUUGUAGAGGGCGCUUUGGUGUGGCUGCGGUCUAAGUUCCUUGGAACAGGACGUCACAGAGGGUGAGAAUCCCGUACGUGGUCGACAGUCUCCACCGUGUAAAGCCCCUUCGACGAGUCGAGUUGUUUGGGAAUGCAGCUCUAAAUGGGAGGUAAAUUUCUUCUAAAGCUAAAUAUUGGCCAGAGACCGAUAGCGCACAAGUAGAGUGAUCGAAAGAUGAAAAGCACUUUGGAAAGAGAGUCAAAAAGCACGUGAAAUUGUUGAAAGGGAAGCGCUUGCAACCAGACUUGUCUAUUGUUGAUCAUCCGGGCUUCUGCCCGGUGCACUCCUCAGUUUGACAGGCCAGCAUCAGUUCAGGCGGCUGGAUAAAGGCCUCUAUCACGUAUCUUCCUUCGGGAUGACCUUAUAGGGGAGGCGUAAUGCAGCCAGCUUGGAUUGAGGUCCGCGCAUCUGCUAGGAUGCUGGCGUAAUGGUUGUAAGCGGCCCGUCUUGAAACACGGACCAAGGAGUCUAACAUCUAUGCGAGUGUUUGGGUGUCAAGCCCGGACGCGCAAUGAAAGUGAACGGAGGUGGGAACCCUUACGGGUGCACCAUCGACCGAUCCUGAUGUCUUCGGAUGGAUUUGAGUAAGAGCAUAGCUGUUGGGACCCGAAAGAUGGUGAACUAUGCCUGAAUAGGGUGAAGCCAGAGGAAACUCUGGUGGAGGCUCGCAGCGGUUCUGACGUGCAAAUCGAUCGUCAAAUNNGGGCAUAGGGGCGAAAG